UACAGAGGUCCCAAGCGUUUGUUCGGAUUCAUUGGGCGUAAAGGGCGCGUAGGCGGUGCGGUAAGUCACCUGUGAAAUCUCCGGGCUUAACUCGGAGCCUGCAGGCGAAACUGCCGUGCUUGAGUGUGGGAGAGGUGCGUGGAAUUCCCGGUGUAGCGGAUGAAAUGCGUAGAUAUCAGGAGGAACACCAGUGGCGAAGGCGACUUCCUGGCCUGUUCUUGACGCUGAGGCGCGAAAGCUAGGGGAGCAAACGGG
rnacentral:rRNA from 1 species